rnacentral:rRNA from 1 species
GUCUACGGCCAUACCACCCCGAACAGGCCCUAUCCCGUCUGAUCUCGGAAGCUAAGCAGGGUUGGGCUUAGUUAGUGCUUGGAUUGUGCUGUAGGCA